rnacentral:rRNA from 1 species
UCGUAGUUACUGGGCGUAAGCGCACGCAGGCGGUUUGUUAAGUCAGAUGUGAAAUCCCCGAGCUUAACUUGGGAACUGCAUUUGAAACUGGCAAGCUAGAGUCUUGUAGAGGGGGGUAGAAUUCCAGGUGUAGCGGUGAAAUGCGUAGAGAUCUGGAGGAAUACCGGUGGCGAAGGCGGCCCCCUGGACAAAGACUGACGCUCAGGUGCGAAAGCGUGGGGAGCAAACAGGAUUAGAUACCCUGGUAGUCCACGCUGUAAACGAUGUCGACUUGGAGGUUGUGCCCUUGAGGCGUGGCUUCCGGAGCUAACGCGUUAAGUCGACCGCCUGGGGAGUACGGCCGCAAGGUUAAAACUCAAAUGAAUUGACGGGGGCCCGCACAAGCGGUGGAGCAUGUGGUUUAAUUCGAUGCAACGCGAAGAACCUUACCUACUCUUGACAUCCAGAGAAUUCGCUAGAGAUAGCUUAGUGCCUUCGGGAACUCUGAGACAGGUGCUGCAUGGCUGUCGUCAGCUCGUGUUGUGAAAUGUUGGGUUAAGUCCCGCAACGAGCGCAACCCUUAUCCUUUGUUGCCAGCGCGUAAUGGCGGGAACUCAAGGGAGACUGCCGGUGAUAAACCGGAGGAAGGUGGGGAUGACGUCAAGUCAUCAUGGCCCUUACGAGUAGGGCUACACACGUGCUACAAUGGCGCAUACAAAGAGAAGCGAACUCGCGAGAGCAAGCGGACCUCAUAAAGUGCGUCGUAGUCCGGAUUGGAGUCUGCAACUCGACUCCAUGAAGUCGGAAUCGCUAGUAAUCGUAGAUCAGAAUGCUACGGUGAAUACGUUCCCGGGCCUUGUACACACCGCCCGUCACACCAUGGGAGUGGGUUGCAAAAGAAGUAGGUAGCUUAACCUUCGGGAGGCGCUUACCACUUUGUGAUUCAUGACUGGGUGAAGUCGUA